rnacentral:rRNA from 1 species
GACGGGGGGGGCAAGCGUUGUUCGGAAUUACUGGGCGUAAAGGGCUCGUAGGUGGCCAACUAAGUCAGACGUGAAAUCCCUCGGCUUAACCGGGGAACUGCGUCUGAUACUGGAUGGCUUGGAUUCGGGAGAGGAAUGCGGAAUUCCAGGUGUAGCGGUGAAAUGCGUAGAUAUCUGGAGGAACACCGGUGGCGAAGGCGGCAUUCUGGACCGACAUUGACGCUGAGGAGCGAAAGCCAGGGGAGCAAACGGG